rnacentral:lncRNA from 1 species
GUGAGGGCUCCCUGUGCACCACCUGGGGCGGCAGCCCUGUCCUGGAGCAGAGCAGCCUCCUGACCUCGCAGGCCCUGCAGGUGCCCCCACCCUCCCUCCAGACGCUAAAGCUCUCCACUUGCCCAGGCACGCCGUCUGGACACCAUGCUGCUCUCAGGGGCACCAGGGCCUGCAUGGGCUCUCCUCGUCUUCUCCAGAGCCUGUCCCAGCGCCCACCCUGCUCUCCACUGCAUUUGGCGGGACUUGCCUGGUAGCCGCCCCACCCUCUGGAGCCUGGUGGAGCACCCUGCCCCCGCCACCCCUCCCAGACCCCCACCCAUACAGCAUCAGAUGCUGCUGCAUGUGGCUAACGGCAUCCCGCAGGAGCUGAGGGCACACAUGCAGCCCUCCCUGCCCUCCAGCUUCUUCCACGGCGAGGAAAACUGGGUGCUGAAGCUGUUUCUAGAAGGCCUCUUGCACAAAACCGCCAUCCUCCUGGAUGUGGUGGGCAUGAUUAUGCAGGACCCAAGCAACCGACCAGGAGCCCGCCCUGCGUGAGUCCUGAUGCUCUCGGCCGCCAGCCGCGCAGUCACAGCGUGAGGCCACUCCUUGGCCCAGCUCCUGGUUCAGGCGACAGUCCUGGCCCCAGCAGGUGGUAGGCCCUGGGCCCUGACUACAUGAGUGAGCUGCUGUGCCUGUCCCUGAGCUUCGAGGGUCCAGAAACGCAGCCCUUCAGCCUCUUCCUGUCCCACGUGGUGGCAGAAACCUGAGUGGUGUCCCUGGGCAAAGUCGCUCGACCUUCAUUGUCUCUAAAACCUUCAGGAGGCCGCACCUCGGCCACAAACCACCUGUAGCUGAGCAGAUUCGUGUCUGUCGUUUCCCUGGGAAGACACUGGAAUGCCCAGGUCAGCCGGCCAGGGGAGGGGCGUCCGGGCUCCCCAAGAGAGCCGGCCCUCGGGAGGUGCUGGGGCUGCCUCCUGGGGAAGAGACAGGCAGGGCUGGCGGUGCCCCGCCUGCCAGCGUGUGUUCAUGGGUUCAUGUGACCUCAGGUGCGGCUGGAGCCCCGACAGCUGUCAGGAUGCACUGCGUUAACCAAGGCCGGUUCCCCAAGACCAGGGCCGUCCGCCCACGACACCCCUGGAGUCAUUCUUUGUGUUUUUGCACACAUGAGUCUAAGAGCCUAAAUUAUUUUUGGAAAUCAUUUUGAAACUUUCAAAGAUUAUGUAAAAGCUAUCUGGUUUUUUGAGCAAUGUUUAACUGAGUGAAGUAAAAAGUUUCUUUGGUAUUUUUUCAGUGCCCAUGUUCACCUCUGCUGGUUUUGAUUCCAGGGAUGGGGAACAAGUCGGUAUGUCCCCCUGCAGCCACCAGGCCCAUUUGUUGUCACUGUGCCUCAGGGCGGGGGUGGCAUGCAGCCUCUUGUUGCCCCAAGGGUCCGAAGUAAAGCUGCCCAGUGCUGCGUGCUCACUUGGGAGCCGUGUGGAGGAGAGCAGGUCUCCCCCACACGGAGCUGGAGCCCACAGUGCUGGGGUGGUACAGGGUCACCAGCACACCCCACACACUCAGAGGUGGCCCCGUGACAGAGACCAGCCUCAGCUCUGGCCCCGCCCGGCGGGGUUGGCAGCAGCUAUGGGUCCCGUCUGGUUGGGGUGUUUCCUCCCCUCCUGCCUGAGCCCUCCGUGGGGACCCUGCCGAGGGGUCAGAGCACUCCACACAGCUUUUUGAUUCUUAUUCCUGAGCACUGAUAUCAGCACAAAGGGGCCCCUGCCCUGGGGUCUUGCUGCGCCCACCCUCCACAGCCCCCGGGGAGGCCCAGCAGCACCUGGGGUGGCCGUUUCCAGGCCAGCGAGAAGCCCUGUGGUCUCUCCCCAGCAACCCAGUUAGUGGAGCUAAUUUCAGAACGGUGUCUCGUCUCCCUGGACCCGUUCCAGGCACCUGCGAGGCAGCGGUCAGCUGGAGGACAAGCUGUCUGCCUCCCUCCCGAGCAUCCUCCUCCCACCGUGGAUCCAGACCUGCCAGGUCCCCCUGGGGCGGGCUCCAGUGCAGGGGGCCUGGACUGGCACGUGUUGGGGUCCACAAGUCCACCCUCCCAGGAAGGUGAGAAACAGGACCUGCCGGGUCCCCUGACACUCACCAAGGACUGGGGAUGCCUGACACGAGCAGGCAUACGUCAGCUCAGCCACCGUGUGGGGUCAUGGCCUCCGUCACACAAGCC